AAACAUUGGUAUUAAAUAUAUAUAUUAAACACAUUUGUAUCAACAUCUGAUACAAAAAUAUAAAAUUUUCUGAAGCAAAAAAGAUAAUUUCGUAAUAUGCUUAUUUUUUAGGCCAGUUUGUCUAAAAGAUGCAUAUUCUCUUUUUGUAUUUUUUUAUUUCUUAUUUUUCUAACUCUAUUUAGGUUAUUUUUGUUAAUCAAUGUAUGCAAUGUCAAGAAUAAAAAAUAUUACGAUAAAAUAAAAAAGGUAAUUACUUAAUUCAUAGUUUUUUAAUUGAUUGAUUUUAUGCUGUUUUUGUAAAAUUUAUAAACAUAUAUUUAAUUUUGUAAGAAAUUUCUAACUUUAAUAAAAUUAAGCACCAAAUAGUUCUCAAAAGUACAAAAAUAUUGGAGAAAUUAAAUAUAAUUUUACUAAAUUUAGAACUUAUUAUCACGCCCCGGAUUACUCGUUUUUUCGGGCUCGCUAACAGACCUGCCGUAUAUAUAGGUAUUUUCUUUGUAUACGAAGCGAAAGUAAAAUUACCUGUAAUCAUACAAUACUACAGACAGUAGUAUAGAGCAGUUAGGAGAGAAGAAUAAAACAUGCAUAUAUAAAAUGUGGUUCUAUACAUACAUAAGAUCCAAGAUACAAAAGCACUCGCACUGGCGAGAGUACAACAUCUGUAGGUAUAAACCAACACUACACUACCUGCAGCGGUCCUCCACUAGCUCAGCAACUCGACUAGAAGGGCUCUAACUCGCGACGUCCUUGCCACGAUCAAUAUCAGCGACAGCAGCAGUCGAAGACGAUGGCUCUACAAAACAGUGGAAACAAAUUAGGCGUGAGAACUACUACAAAAAGAAGUAGUCCUCAGUGGGUACCGCCCUCAACUCAUCGGUCCGCCCACUAAGUCUACAGGGGUAAGCAAGAAAUAGUAAGGAAAGCUAGAACAUAUCUACAGCUAUCUGCCACUAUACUAUUAUACUCUAAUCUAACCAACUGUAAAACAGUGUCAACUCAGACCCAAUCUCGAAUAGGGACUGUAAUCAUACCCGUCCCUGAGACUGUGAACACACCCGUCUUGCCAAGUUGCAACUAACCAGCUACCUCCACACUAACAAGCCCGUGGAGAGCAAGUCCAACCUGCACGAACGACACCAACGUAAAAGCACUAAGCCCAACUCUGGAGUGGUACUCGUGGGCGCUACCCAACCGAGUAUGGAAGCGUAUCUCUGUCGAGCUCAAUCAGGCUCUAACCAGCCAAAGAUAAAUAACUAGGGUCAAAACAGGUCUAGAACCCACGUGCUCUCGACACAAUUUGAUAUCAAAAACAGGAAUCUCGGUCCACCGUCCACUCUGACGGCACCCGACAACCCGAAACAACCUAGACUCUGCUGUAAAAAUAAGCUUGGCAUCCCAGCACGAGCGUAAAUGCAUUCUAAACUACCUUGGGUAUCCACCGCGCUGAAACAUCAGUGAUACAAUCAAACCACGGCUCCUAGAGCUAAAUCAGGUAGUAGAAGCAUAUGACGGGUCAAAACACUGGUUUUCUCCUAAGUCAAGUUCUAAGUCCGACAUGUAUAAUUUAUCUAAUUACUAAGCAUGCUCCAAAUUCAGAUUUCUACAUUAUACUCAUCGAUGAAUUUGAGCUACAAUAAGAUAACAAUACCCGCAAAUCAUACACGUCGACUAACAUAUACUUAGGAGUAAAAACCGAUGAUACACCCACCUUAAUUGCUAAUCCUGGCAGCAAAAAAGGUUUCGAACCAAUGCUAAUCCCUACUGGAUCAACCGAAGUCCUCCAAGACCAGUAAUCAAGCUAUCUCCAAGCUUUACACAUUGAAUUCCAUCAAUUAUCAGAAUUUCAGCACUAAAGCUUAAUUUAAUCCCUAUCGUAAUGUCGAAACUCACCUAAUUACCUCCAAAUCAGGUGAGGAAGGUCUCAAAUCCAAUGAAUAAUAAUGGAAAAUGUGUCUCAGGUCCAAAAUCCCACUGCCUACAAAGAUAGCAUCAAGAAAAGCUUAAAAAUCUUAUUUUCAGCUCAAUGUCAACAGCAGUCCAGAAAAAUCUCAGUUCGACCAAGCUAACCUCAAUCAAAAUCUACAAUUUAGGGCUUUGUAGAUUCCUCUGGAAGUCUAGAAUCCAGCAAACCAAGUUUCACCGCGAUCCGACCUUCCUACGUCGCGUACGAGCUAAAACACUGGAGGCCGUGGCUUAAAAACUGCAGAAUUAGCACCUAUCAAGCUUGGAGUUGUGGAUCUUGAAGCAAUUUGAGUAGAUUUGAGUGUUGGAAAUGCAAUUUAAGGGUUCACUGUGAAGAAUGGACGAAAAGGAUUCACCGAGGUCAAGCUCCCCCUAUUUAUAGGGUGCUGGAAAGAUAAAAUAAGCCCUAGGUUCAAAAACUGCUAACCUGGUGUCCCUGUAGAAACGGGCAUUUCUGGGCGCCCGAAACCCAAUUCUGGGCGCUCGAAAUCUCCAGGCUGCACAAAUCUUCCUCCUCGGACUCUCCGCUCGCGAUGUGCUGUGCCCGUAAACGGCUCCAGCGGACCUCACCUACCACCCGCCACGUGUCAACACAAACGAUAUUCACAAUGUAAAAUUUCCGGACUCACUUCUGGGCGCCCGGAACAUAGGAUCCGAAUUGGCUUUCAGUUUCAGUUAAAUUUAGCACUCAGUUCUGGGCGACCUAAAUCGUGUUCUAGGCGCUCGAAUCUGGCAAACCUCCAGUUUUGCUUAAUUGAGUGCGCAGAGUCCAUUUCUGCACCCAAUUCGUACAGAAACGACUCCGACUCAGUUCAACACUCUCCAGAUGUGUCGACCAGUCACUAAUACUGAAGCCAAUCCUAUCCAAAGCUCAAAAAUACUACAUCCUCCCCCACUAUAAAAAGUUUCAUCCGCGAAACUGAAACAUAUCUCAAUCCUGAGCCUCAAAAAGGUAGAGGUAGGACUCUCUCAUCACCAUCUCGGGCUCCCAGGUCGCCUCCCGCUCCUCGUGAUUACUCCACUGCACCUUUACAAAGGUAUGACCAGGUUGCGCAAUUCCCUCGACUCACGAGCCAGAAUCCGCACUGGUCGCUCCACGUAUCUCAAUUCCUCGCCAAUCUCUAGCGGAGUGAAGUCUAUCACGUGGGAGGGGUCGAACACAUAUCUCCUCAAGGCCGAGACGUGGAAAACAUCGUGAAUGCCGGCUAAUCGUGGAGGUAGAGCAAUCUUGUAAGCAACUAGCACGACUCGCUCCAAUACCUCAAAAGGGCCUACAAAACGUGGACUAAGCUUUCCACGUACUCUAAAUCUGCGAAUCCCUCUGGACGGCGAGACUUUAAGAAACACAUGAUCUCCCACCUAGAACUCCAAGUCUCGUCUCCGGGUAUCAGCAUAGCUCCUCUGCCAACUCUGGGCUGCUAAAAUGUGCCGUCGCACCACUUUCACCUUUUCCUCAACCUCAAUCAGAAUCUCAAGCCCAAGCGUUUUUCUCUCACCCACAUCGCUCCAAAACAAAGGGGAUCGACACCUGCGUCCAUACAACGCCUCAAACGGAGCCAUCUGGAUGCUCGCUUGAUAGCUGUUGUUGUACGCAAACUCAGCCAGUCUCAAAUGUCGAUACCACCCUCCUCCAAAGUCCAGAACACAUGCCCUCAGCAUGUCCUCAAGAGUCUGAAUGGUCCGCUCUGACUGACCAUCUGUUUGUGGGUGAAACGCUGUGCUGAACUGCAACUGAGUGCCCAAGGCCGUCUGAAGACUCCUCCAAAAGUGCGAGACGAACCUCGGGUCUUGAUCUGAUACUAUCGAAGUGGGCACACCAUGCAACCUUACUAUCUCAUCCAGAUAUAGCUGAGCGAGCCUCUCCCUGAACCAUGUGGUCUGAAAUGGUAGGAAGUGAGCAGACUUAGUUAGUCUGUCCACUAUAACCCAAAUAGCAUCGAAACCACCCUGAGCUCUAGGCAACCCUACGACAAAGUCCAUCGUGAUCUACUCCCAUUUCUAAUCGGGCACUGGCAGACUCUGAAGCUUGCCAGCAGGUACCUGAUGCUCGGCCUUUACCUGUUGACAAGUCAGACACCGAGCCACAAAUCUGUCAAUGUCCCUCUUCAUUCCAUUCCACCAAAACUGGGCUUUUAAGUCCUUAUACAUCUUGGUUCCACCGGGGUGAACCGUAUAAGGUGAACAGUGAGCCUCUCUCAAAAUGUCCUCUCGGAUCUCUGAAUCUAUAGGUACACACAGUCGGUCCCUGUACUGCAGUACUCCCGAAUUGUCCACAACAAAGCCCUCAGCCUGUCCCAUCUUAGAUCGCUCUCGAAUCCUCGACAAGUGUGGAUCUCCACUCUAUUUAUCUCGGAUCCUAUCCAACAGAGUGGGCUGCAAGACUACAGACAUCAGUCUCGCAGUAGAUCCAGGGGACACUAUCUCGAGCCUCACCCGCUGUAGCUCCUCGAGUAACGGCCUCUGCUGAGUGAUCGACAUGCUCAAGCUUUGCACUGCCCUCCUGCUCAAUGAUCUACCACCACAUUCGCCUUGCCGGGAUGAUACUGAAUACUAAUGUCAUAGUCCUUCAGUAACUCCAAUCAUCGGCGCUGCCUCAGGUUCAACUCCCUCUGGGUGAACAGAUACUUGAGACUUUUACGAUCGGUGAAAACCUCGCAGUGCUCGCCAUACAAGUAAUGCCGCCACAACAUUAAAGCAAAAACUACCGCGACAAGCUCUAAGUCAUGCGUAAGGUAAUUCUUCUCGUAAUCCUUUAACUGCCGUGAAGCAUAAGCAAUUACCUUACCAUGCCGCAUCAGCACACAGCCGAGCCCGCUGUGCGAUGCAUCACUGUAGAUCACAAAUCCUUCUCCCAUCACAAAAAGGGCAAGGAUAGGAGCUGACGUCAACCUCUAUCUCAACUCAUCAAAGCUCCUCUGACAGUCCUCACUCAAAAUGAACUUAAUUUCUUUACGAGUCAGUCGAGUGAGUGGUGUGGAAAGCUUCGCAAAGCCUUCCACAAAUCGACGGUAAUAACCUGCAAGUCCAAGGAAACUCCUCACCUCUGUCACCGUCGUCGGUCUUGGCCAAUCCCGAAUAGCAUCAAUCUUCUUUGGGUCCACUGCUACUCCAACCGCAGAUAUCACGUGGCCCAAGAAAGCAACCUCCCGCACUUCUUUAACUUGGCAUACAACUUCUUCUCUCGCAGAAGCUGUAGCAUAGUCCUCAAGUGCUCCUCAUGCUCGGCAUCGCUCCGGAAGUAUAUCAGAAUAUCAUCAAUGAAGACUACCACAAACCUAUCCAAGAACGGCUUGAACACUCUGUUCAUCAAAUUCAUGAAUGCGGCAGGGGCAUUCGUCAAUCUAAACGGCAUCACCGUAAACUCAUAAUGCCCAUACCGAGUUCGAAAAGCCGUCUUGGGAACAUCCUCGGCCCUCACCCUUAACUAGUGGUAACCUGACUGGAGGUCAAUCUUCGAGAAGACAUAAGAUCCUUGCAGCUGAUCAAACAGAUCAUCAAUGCGCGGCAAAGGAUACUUAUUCUUGAUGGUCACACUAUUUAGCUCCCGGUAAUCUACACACAACCUGAGUGAACCAUCUUUCUUCUUUACAAACAACACCGGUGCUCCCCAAGGCGACACACUGGGUCUCACAAACCCCUUAUCCAUCAAAUCCUAAAGCUGCGCCUUUAGCUCUCUCAGCUCCGCCGGUGCCAUCCUGUAAGGUGCCUUUGAGAUUGGUGCAGUUCCAGGAACUAUAUUAAUCACAAACUCUAUCUCCCUCUCCGGCGGCAUCGUCGUAAACUCAGGGAAAAACACAUCCGGAAACUCGCGGACUAUAGGGAUAUCCUCGAGUCCCGGCGCCCCCGUAGGCACCUCUGUCACAGUCGCUAGAAAAGCAACGCAUCCUCUACUCAUCAACUGUCGAGCCUUCGCCGAAGAUAUCCAAGUGGCAAACAAAGUACUCCUGCAGCCUCUGAAAGUGAACUCCUCCUGGCCUGGCUCUCGGAACGUCACAGUCCUCAUUUCACAGUCGAUAGUAGUAUAUUACCGCACAAGCCAAUCCAUACCGAGCACCACGUCAAAGUCCUGCAGCUGCCCUAACACCAACAGGUCUGCCGGCAUGAUCCAAGAAUCUAACUGCACUGGACAUGACCAACAACACUCUGCAACCCGUAAAACAUGGUCGGGGAUCUGCACCUCUCGUGCCUCUGACAAAGACCCUAACUCUAGACCAUACAACAAUACAAAUGCUCGGCUAACAAAAGAAUGUGAGGCACCGGUAUCAAAAAGAGUACGAGUACGAAUGCCGGAAAUAAAAAUGAUACCUGCCGCCACUCGGUCGGCUGCUGAAGAGUCCUCCACCUGAGAUGCGUAAACUCUGCCACUUGGAGCCUGCUGUCGCCUCUUAGUUUGACGCGGCACAAACAAUCUAUCCUCCUGGCGAAAACUCGGUGCUGCUCCAAAAGACUGCUGAGAUGCUGUCUGUGCUGAUGCAGUGGAUGGUGUUGGCGGUGCUGCACGAUGACAAGCUGACCUCAUAUGCCCGGGCUGACCGCAAGUGUAGCAACGGCCCUCUCUCUGCUCGCACUGUUGGGGCCAGUGUGGUCCCCCGCAGAUCACACACUGCGGUGUCCUCGGCGUCUGUCCCUGUUGACGGGAUCCCCUGGAACGCUGACGCCCCGAAGACCCACGACCCUGAGAGCGUGAUCGUGGCGGUCUCGGCGGACGCCUGCUGCUCGACUGUACAGCAUCAUCUGAAAAGGGGCGCUUCCUGUCUGGACUCUGCCCCACGGCCUGAGUCCUCUCCCGAAUGGAGGCAUCACCCCUCUCUACCCAAAGAGCCUGCUCCAUCGACGCGUCCAAGGUCCUCAAUCUCUGUGCCUGCAGCAAUCGAAAAAUCUCGGGUCUGAAUCCCUGCUCGAAUAGAUAGACUCUAUGCGCCUCAUCCCUGGCCACGAACGGUACACAGUUCAGGAGUCGAGUGAACUCCCGAAUGUACUCCUGGACUGUCCACUCGCCCUGCUGAAUCCUCUUCAGAUCCUCCUCGAGCUUCUGUUUCACGCUGUUGGGAAAAUACAUCCCGAACAGCUUUCUACAGAAGUUGUCCCACUUCAGCUGCAACGCCACUAAUCCGUAGUCUCGCCUCACUCUCCUCCACUAGGCGUGAGCAUUGGCAGCUAAGCAGUGUACUCCCAAAGACACCUGCUCCCCUCUCAGGCACGAAUAGAUCCUCGAACAGCUUCUCCAUCGCACUGACCCGACCCUCAACAACCUAGGCCUCAGUGCAACCACCGUCGAAGGUCGGUGGAUCAAAACGGCGAAAAUGAGCCAACCUCUCAGUCAUUCGCUCCUGCUCGGCCUCAGUCAACUGUACUGGUCCCCUAGCCGGCACAACUGGCGCUGCAGGAAACUCUACUGGCGGGGGUAUAGCUGCGAUUGGUGCGGUCACUGGAGUAGUCGGAGGUGGAACGGCCUGCUCAGGUGCUCUCGGUACUGUACUCGGUGACGGAGCUAACCUCUCGCACAUUCUCUGUAGCAACUCCCCCUGCUGCCUCGUCACCUCAGUCGGGGCGGCUAUAUGCGCACUCAAAUCAGGAGGUACACCCACCUCUGGUCGGGCCCUCUGCUCUACAGCAGGGGGUGCACUCGCCUCAAGUGGUGCACUCGGCUCUGCCUGCUCGGGCAUCUCAGGCGGUGCGACACGAUCCCUGAGCGACGGUCGACCUCAGCGACGAUACAUAUUUGUAGCUAUAACAAACAAGACAGGGGGUCAGAUAAAACAGAAACACUCUCGACCUAAUCAAACGAAAGUUUAGAAGGCGGCCCCUAUUUCUCCUCAAAAUUAUGUCGUCUGUAGCCAAUAUAAUUUCUCAGGCCAAAACAGGAACUUCCCCAAUCACUCAUCCACUCUAGGAGGAGUUAGAACAACGAAUCAUUGACUUUCGCGAUAAAUCACGCCUCUCGCGUCUUACCUUCCUAAGGUUUGCCAAACUUAGGGUUCCUAGGACCCAACGACCUACAGCUAAGCUCUGAUACCAACUUAAUCUGUCACGCUCCGGAUUACUCGUUUUCCCGGGCUCACUAACAGACCCACCGUAUACAUAGGUAUUUUCUCUGUAUAUGAAGCGAAAGUAAAAGUACCUGUAAUCAUACAAUACUACAGACAAUAGUAUAGAGCAGCUAAGAGAGAAGAAUAAAACAUGCAAAUAUAAACUGUGGUUCUAUACAUACAUAAGAUUCAAGAUACAAAAGCACUCGCACUGGCGAGAGUACAAUAUCUGUAUGUAUAAACCAACACUACACUACCUGCAGUGGUCCUCCACUAGCUCAGCAACUCGACUGGAAGGGCUCUAACUCGCGACGCCCUUACCACGAUCAAUAUCAGCGACAGCAGCAGUCGAAGACGAUGGCUCUGCAAAACAGUGGAAACAAACUGGGCGUGAGAACUACUACAAAAAGAAGUAGUCCUCAGUGGGUACCGCCCUCAACUCAUCGGUCCACCCACUAAGUUUACAGGGGCAAGCAAGAAAUAGUAAGGAAAGCUGGAACAUAUCUAAAGCUAUCUGCCUCUAUACUAUCAUGUUCUAAUCUAACGAACUGUAGAACAGUAUCAACUAAGACCCAAUCUCGAAUAGGGACUGUAAUCAUACCCGUCCCUGGGACUGUGAACACACCCGUUCCGCAAGGUUGCAACUAACCAGCUACCUCCACACUAACAAGCCCGUAGAGAGCAAGUCCAACCUGCACGAACGACACCCACGCAAAAGCACUAAGCCCAACUCCGGAGUGGCACUCGUGGGCGCUACCUAACCGAGUAUACAAGCGUAUCUCUGUCGAGCUCAGUCAGGCUCUGACCAACCAAAGAUAAAUAGCUAGGAUCAAAACAGGUCUAGAAAUCGAACCCACGUGCUCUCGGCACAAUUUGAUACCAAAAACAGGAAUCUAGGUCCACCGUCCACCCCGACAGCACCCGACAAUCCGAAACAGCCUAGACUCUACUAUAAAAAUAAGCUCGGCGUCCCAGCACGAGCGUAAAUGCAUUCUAAACUACAUCGGGUAUCCACCGCGUUGAAACAGCGGUGAUACAAUCAAACCACGGCUCCUAGAGCUAAAUCAGGUAGUAGAAGCAUAUGACGGGUCAAAACGCUGGUUUUCUCCUAAGUCAAGUUUCAAGUCCGACAUGUAUAAUUUAUCUAAUUACUAAGCAUGCUCCAAAUUCAGAUUUAUACAUCAUACUCAUCGAUGAAUUUGAGCUACAACAAGAUAACAAUAGCAGCAAAUCAUACAAGUCGACUAACAUGUACUUAGGAGUAAAAACCGAUGAUACACCCACCUUAAUUGCUAAUCCUGGC
rnacentral:lncRNA from 1 species